ensembl:lncRNA
UAGCGCUCUUUGUCUCUCUCUGCUCUCAAACUCGCCAUUUAACACAGGUUAGACUCGCAGAUGUGAAGGUAAAGAAAAGCCACUAUAGGAGGUGGACUGCAAACUGUGUAGCCUAAAUCUACUUCAAAUGUCGAUUAGAAGAAAGAAAGAAAGAAAGAAAGAAAGAAAGAAAGAAAGUGUUAAGAGAUUUUCAAAUGUUUCAAGUAUUAUUCCCACUGCCAUUUGUACGUUAUUGAAAGUUUAUCUUUAAUUUUAGUGUUAAUAGUUGUUUACCCAUUUAUUCUUUCCAUUUAAUCGUAUUUUAUGGUUUUACUGUUUUGCUGAAGUGAAGCUUAAAUGAAAGACAAAAGCAUAGUGUUCUCAGAUAUGAUUCACCCAGUAUAUUUCCUCUGCACCUGGCUCUCUACGAGCCGUUUCACUCCCAGGAAGGGGAGAGCAGGACGUUCUUAUCUAUACACUCCCAAAUACAAAGAGGGGCCCAUUCUUCAGAAUCACACACACACACUCUGAGAUCAUAAACUUCACACACACACACAUACUCUGAAACGCUAUAAAUAAAGAACUGCCACAUACGCUGGUUGUGGGCCUGAGACAGCAGCGCUCACCCAGCGUGCGCACGUUGUUACCAUCUAAACUGCCUUGAGUGUCUUUAUUUCGCCUGAAGAAUGUCUUGUUUAAAUAUUUACUCUUUACAUUUAUUUGGUCCUUCGAGCCGGAUGAGGACAUUGAAUUUUAACUAAUUUUGUGCUCCAACAGAGUGACCUCGUCGUCUCCUGGAAUCGUGAACCCGCGCUGAAAGUCUGUCCGGACAGCCUGUUUCUAGUGAAACAGUAAAGACCAACUACGUGAAUUCGCCGUUGGCCAGCGUUUUUAGCAAGAGGUCCACGAUCCCAGGGAGCGAGGAGGAUUCUCUCUGACCGGCAUUUUCAUCCGAAGCAGGUGAAUAUAAACACUCAAGAACACAUUGCGGCUAAAAUCGGUUUUUAGAUUGACACGGUUCUUAAAAGACCCGUCCUUUAAGGACUGGAGGUCAGGGAUCUCACUCUUAUGAGUGAAAGGGCUCGCCUGUAAGACGGAGUUCGACGGUCCUGUGUGGGGUCACUCCGCAGUUUAAAAGGUUGGAAGUCAGGGAUCUCACUCUCACGAGUGAAUGAAAUAAAGGGAUCUCACUCUCACGAGUGAAUGAAAUAAAGGGAUCUCACUCUCACGAGUGAAUGAAAAUAAAGGGAUCUCACUCUCACGAGUGAAUGAAAAUAAAGGGAUCUCACUCUCACGAGUGAAUGAAAAUAAAGAACGUGUCAAUUAAAAUAGGAUUGUAGUACCGCGUGUGAAGUUUAUGUGUUGUUGAAGAGUGAGUGACCUUUUGAAUAGAAACAACAGGUUUCUGCACCACUCUUACUGUUUCCUGUGUUGACCGAUGUACUGGUGAGAAGGGGUCAAAGGUUGCGCAUCAACACAUAAAAUUAAGGCCGCCCUGGGUCUAGACCAGGGUAGAAGGCUGCCUUAAUAACCUCCCCCGACUCUAAUAUCAGCGAAGGUCACACAGAGUGUAUGUUGGCAGUAUUAAUACAUAAAAGCAAAACAAGGUGUUUCCAAAUACAAUAAAUAAAAAUAAAAUUAUAAGCAAUUUACAAUAAAAUAUUAUUGAUAACUCUAAGCCCAAAAAAUAGGCAAAUAUUUUAACUAAUGACGUGCAUAGAGGCACUUGACCUGUUUGAAAACUGUCAUCUUAUUAUGAGCCAUUGUUGAGAUAUAGAGUACGCCUAUGAAAACAACUAUUAUGCUGAACCCUGUGUGAAACAGCUGAAAACUACAUGAUGGAGAAGCUGAGUUUAAUAUGAAAAUGUAAGUCUUUGCCACUGUGGGCAAAGCAUGCAACCACUGUGUGAGGUUGUGUUGCGGUCUCUUCUGAGCUGAUGAGCAAGCUACACAUUAUCAGAUCAGGAGCUGCUGAGAACUCAUCAGAGAAGAGGGAAGAGAACUAUGAUAACUCGAGUAUGUAGUGUAUCCGUGAGUUCAGCUUCUUCUUUCAGAUGCGCAGCAGUUUUCCUGGAUCUUGAUUCAUGUGUGUAGAGUGUUCAUAGCAUCAGCAUCAUGUUUUUGUUUAUUUGCUUUGUUGGGUUGAAAAAUAAUUAAAUAAAACUUGUGAUCAUACUUAUGGAUCACCAUGGCACAUAUCAUCAGCCAUAUGUUUUAUUUAUGCAGAUGAAAAAAGUGAGUGUGAAUGUGUCUGACGUCGCAGUGUGUGUGUGCGUUGUGUAAACGUAAUUGUCUCCAAUUGUGAGAGCGGUGAUUCUGCAGGUCACCAGCUAGUGUAAAGGAAAAAAGAGUAAAAAAGAGACAGAAUCUACAUUGUAGAUGAAAAAUCAUAGGAAAAAGGUUUUGUGUUUAUCAGCCAAGAACAACUACAAUCUCAUUUUCUGCUUUCAAGAAAGGAGAGCACAAAAAACAGAGAGAGAGUUCUGUGUGUCGGUUAAGUAAUGAGAAUAAUAAUGGAAAUGUCUUAGUUUUGUCACUUUCAGAUGAAACGCAGACCUGGAUCAAUUUCCCAUAUGCAGCAGUCGGAAGAAAGUUAUAGUUUAACACCAUUGGAAAUGUUCAGGCCAAUUUCUGGCUGACUUAUUUACAGCUCCAUGUGUCCCUCAUCCUCACAAGUGAGCUCUCACUCCUCCCUGAAGACAAGGAAUGCAGUUCCAAAGAGCAAUAACAUGGCAGAUAAAGAGACAGCAGCGAAGUCCUGAGCAAAGAGACCCGGCAAGCAGCAGCAGUGUGGACAAACAGCAUCGGAGAAGAAGAGCAAACCAUCAUCCUGACUGAUUGGAUGAAUGACACUGUGUUUCCAACAAGCUGCAAAGUCACUGUGCUUGUGAAAAGAACGUUUGAGGAAAGCUGAGGAGACUGUUGGAGGUUGAUAUUUGCCACUUUCGGAGUAAAAUGGCAAGAAGAGACAGUGGAACACAGGACAAAGCUGAAGAAGAACUGCCGGCUGUUGGACUGUUGAAGUGGGAGAGGACAACAGAGUGAGAGUAAGUAAGGACACAAAGGAAAGCUGUUGUUUAAUGUGGGAAAUCAAAAUUUGGGUUAGCAAACCUGGGGAAAAGAAAACUGACUGCUUAAGUGGAAAAUUGUGAAGGAAUCUGAAACACUGCAAAAAGAAACAUAUACAAAAUCACACACACAAGCAGAACAUACAUUAACCCUACUAACACAAACACAAGAGAGCUCAUGAAGAUUAGACACCAUCUUAAGCAUGUGAGUCUGUUUAUCAUCUUGUCCAAGUCACCUUGUGUGAUGCAAAGACCAGUGGACUCAUAGCAUACUAGUUAAAAAUGAUCAAAUAAUAGCAGAGAAGUGUGUAGGAAAGGCAGCUUUAAGAACAUGCCCUGCUGGAGAUGCAGCUCCAGACACAUUGAUUAAACCUGCCUAAUAACACAAACUCACAUGCAAUGAAAAUCAGCUUGUUAUCUCUCAUCAGUGUUAAAAUAGUGUCAAUUUAACAGACGCUUGUUAUCAAAUGCUGAAUUUAUCCAAUGCUGACAAUUAACUCUCAAGGUUGCAGGACAACAGUUUAAUUUUUGUGGGAAAAAAAAAGAUUCUGGUUUGACCAACCAGUGAUCAGACAAUAAAUUUAGUUGUUAAUAUAGUAAAUUGGGAGAUGCUUUCUGCCUGAUUGGUGCAGCACAAGUAAUUUACUGUAUGAGGGAAAUUCUAUUUUUGUGAUAACGUUUUGAACAUGCAUUUCUGUUGUCCUGUCAUUUUAGUGGGUUAAUAGCUGAUAUGCAAACUAGUUGAUGGUUCUUAGAUUAAUGAAAGGUGACUGAAUUCUAGUACGAGUGAAUGGGAUGUGUUGGAGUUUGUUAGAGUGGAGACUCUAAAACACUGAGUUUCCUGUUGUGAUGUGCGAGUGAAUCCUGCACCCAGAUACACAACUCUGAAUACAUAAGAACAAACGUCUUUUGUGAAAUACAUGACAACAUGUCACAUGUUUUAUGAUGACGGGGAAAAAGGAAAACUAAAUAAAAUCUGUGGCCUAAAUGAGUGAAAAGUACAGUCCUGGGGAUUAAAAUUCAUAGCUAAUGAGACAUGAGGCUUAUGUUGUGUGUUGUGCGGCUGAUGGUUGGUUUUGAGUUAAUCUAGCUGAUGAUUUUUCUUUUGUUGUGAAGUUGAGCCUGCCAAUUAGUAUGAUGGUAUGAUAAACCAUGCUAAUGGUAUGAUUUACCCUCCUGAGAUGAGGAGCGUGUGUCAUGACUUAACGAGGCCUUUUUAUUUUGAUACUUUCACAGUGCACCGAAAGUUUUAUUGAUAAUCUCUGUUUGAGCAGAUCUGCACGAUUAGAACAGAAGCGCUAUACGACACGUCGUCGAGAAAAUUGUUGCAAGUGAGUUUCUCCACAUUAAAAUGGGCUCAGGAGGAAGUCACUUAUAUGGGACAAUUAGAAAAUAAGUUCCUGUCCAAAAGGAUUCAACGAGAAAAUCCAGUCUAAAUUCUUUUCUUUUUGAAAUGACGUCAUUUUGCUGAGAAGUGGAAAUGAAAAUGCGACGGUAAUUCCCACUGUCAGCAAAGAAAGAAUGAAUGAAUGCAUGAAUGAAUAACUGAGAGAAAAUAAAACUGACUGACUGGUAAAAGCGGACAGAAGCUGACAGACUGACUGACAUCACUGUGCGAAGUUAACCCCCACCUGACAAAGGUGCAGAUGAAUCUAUGUGUGUUUCUUUUUAUUGGAGCAGAAAGAUGACAACAACAUCGAGGUUGCGUGAUGAUUUAACCUUUUAAAUGCCACUUUCUGUGUCUGUGCAUCUACCAGGGGUGUUAUUCACUACCUUGUGUUGUUCACAGAGGUAACUGUGAGAAAGUGUGUAUACACCUGCGCAGCGCUAACUUGUCUACAGCAUUACAGUUCUUCAUGUGAUUUGAUCAUGUGAUUUAUACCAGGAUAGCUGGUUGAUGUUUUCUACUACAGGAUUUCUGGGUUUACGUGUGAAGAAAACUGCGUUUACAGGUUAUGAGUUGGUGAUGCUGUUACACUGUGUUGUUGGAGACAUGUGAAGGUUACUUUGACGAUGUGAAUAACAUGUAAAACAUUCCCUGUGUUGAAACUAGUGCCACUUCUGUCCACAGCUAUGGUCUUUAUGGUCUUUUUAUAGCACCUCUGGAACCUGCAAUUUGUGCCUGACCUCCAGGAUUGUCUAUGUGUGUUGCUAAUGUUUGUUUGUCUAAGAGUGCAUGUAGAGGAUUCAGCAGAGACGGACAAGUAACAUGAGAAAGCAACUAAGAGAUGCAGUGUUUAUGGAAGUUUAAUAUGGGGCUCAUUAGCUGGCCACUACUGAGCUCCUAGUGUUAAAUACAUGGAGUGACUUUGCUUAAGGGAAGUCACCGAUUACAUUAAUGUUAACUGAGACAUGGGAUGAUCCAUGUCUGAGCCAAAUUAUGCCAAUAAUUGUAGUUUACUGAUUUGAGAAACCUGCACAUGAUACUUGUCCUGUUGAUGCUGAGUAGUUUAUUGCUACUUAUGAUACAAUUGUUUAUAAGUGUGAAGUUUGAUUUCACUUCCAGAUCUUGUUUUCCAGGCCAUGAUGGUGUGUAUGCAGGCUCCAGGCGCAGCCAGAUGUGAAGCAAACUUAUUAUGCAAAACACACUAACAGCUUUUAUUGCAGGGUUAUAGGUCCGGGGUGGUGCUGCUCCAGAGGGGGAGACGCCCUGAUGUUGCCUGGGACAUGAUCUAGCUAACCCUUUUCUUUCAGACAGGAAUCUAGGUUUGAUGAGUUGACUCAUGGGAGUGUCCAUGCGUCAAGAGGAGGGGUCCAGAAUUACACAGUUACAUGAAACUAUCUUUUCUAUGUUUUCUGAACUAUGUUUUUAUGAUUUUUGUGUGAUCUUUGUGAUUAACAGUUCAGACGGGUAUUAAACCUAUGUAAGUGGUGCAUCUGUGUUCAGAUGAGGCUUUGAUGGUCCAUAAAUGAAGCUCACUGAACUAAAGAAUGUGGUUUGAUGAUGAUCGACAUGCUCUCCAAAUAGAAGUUUUUCCUCCUAGCAAGGAAAUACAGGUGCAGCAGUUAAAGUAUUGCCGAAAGGAAUCUCCUGAGAAAUCUUCAGAGGCCCAGUGAGAAGCGAGAACCCAUUCCAGGCAGAGCUGACAGCCCAGGCAGUGGUUGAGGUCAAAGGUCGAGCUGUUUGGGGCCCAUUGGGAGAUCAGAUUCCACAGCCACAGCAAGAACCAUGAAGCUGCAUUGGAAUGAGAGCUGUGCCAAGGGGGCUUUCCAGAGGCCAACAGAGGAGAUUGUGGACGACAGACGGGCACCUGAAGGAUGAGGAGAGCGUGCCAAGCUCCAUCGACAGCGCAGGGGGAGUCCAAGAAUGGCAUCAUGAUUCUGUGAAAAGCACAGGAACCAGAAGCUAUGGUGGUGAUGACAGCAGUUUCCUAUGAACAUCACCUAAUGCUGUGUCACUAUACUGUGCAUACGAUGGCACACUGACGACUGCUGGGAUCAUAACAGCAGCAAGAUAACUGGAUCUAGCACCCUUUCCACAGAGGGUUCUCCUGCAGAGGACAAUGGAGGAGUCAUAUAUAUCCCCCACAGGACAGGGGCCUGAAGUGAGGUGAUGGGGGUUGGCAGAGGCCAUAAAACUAGAGUGCUGAAGAGGUCUGCAGCUCUCACAAUAGCUGAGACCCAUGUUGACAAACGGCAAACUCAACUGGUAUGUUUGAAUGUCUAUUCUACAUACAUUUGGACUCUGGUUCUAUGAACAGUGAUGGAAACAACUGGAAGAGACAUUUAUGACGCCCUGCAGAACUUAAACCACUCUGCAGAGAGACGUGUGAUUUACAUGUCUCGCAGAGGAGCACCACCAAGCUGGAGUGUUUUUGAAAAUGUUAAUUUCUCUUAUGACCAUUAACAAUUCAUUUGUUUGCUUGUAGGAUGCAGUUUACCAUUGAAUGAGAUCAAUGAGAACUUGGAUAACUGCUAAUAUAUUUGUCAAACUGUGUACGUUUACAUAUGCUGAGUAUAAAAAUGUUUGCAUUGACACUGUCAGACAUGACGGGAUCAUAACUGGGUACUUUUCUAGCAUAAUUGCCAAAAGGGGGGAAAUGUUAGAUUUGUAUUGUUGAUUGUCAUUUAUGCUUAGAAGUAUAUAAUCAUUUGUAGAUUGAAAGAAUGUCUCAUCCUAGGAGGUCUGUAACAACUCUGUGUAGCAUGAAGAGGGGAGUGCGUUCACUCCUCUUCAGAGUGUUCUGGCAUAGAUCACACACCUCCUAGGAGAGGUCGUAUCUUCUCCUGCUGAUAUAUGGUAUAGCAAACACACGUAUAUCUGUUUGAGUCUAAGAGCCUUUUGUUCAGAUGUACCGCUAGACUCUUGGCACCAGCUAUGGGGAGUCUUCCUGGGGUUACAUCUUGACCCCAUACACACAUAGAUACACACACUCAGGGUAUUCUUUGUUCACAUGCAUACCUAUAUAAGAUGUCAUAUGUUAAUGAACCAAUCCGAGAACCACAAUCUCCCGAAUAGAAAAGUGAGCAGUAAAGUCUAGACUGCAGACCGCUCUAACCUCUGGUGUUCACUCGGUGGGAGAAGGGCUAUCAGUGGCAACACUGAGACACUCGCUCCUCUUGCUGGGUGUCUACUCAUUGGAGGCCAAGGGUGUGUCCACGGUCGAGAAGAGGAGAAACGCUCACAGAGGAGACCUGAUGGAGAUGGAAAUACUAAAUGCAAACCAGGAUGCCCCUGAGGGUGAGAGACCGCACAGACGACGUCGAUGCUGGACAAGAGGAUGCCAACUGACCACUGUCACAACGAUGUGUUCCAUGCUCGUCUUCACAGUAUUCUUAUCACUGGCCCUGGUAGGCAUGAACACGGCCUGCACCAGCAACCCAUGUGACCCACACUGCCCGAGGAUUUACCGGCAGGCUCCAAAUGUGACGUGUCCUGAAAGGGGAACCAUUUUAAGCUGCAGCCUAUGCCCAGAAGAACGCGCAGCGCAACGAGAAACAAAGAAGUGGAGAACAAUGCUGCACCUUCAUACCUAACAACACUGCAGCUGACGGCAGUCUGACCAGAGCCCUGGAAAGACUGAAGACCUUGAAUGAGAGAAUGAAAGAACAUUCUGGAGUGGACACUUCCAUGUGGGACAGCUGGAUGGACAUGUUUGGAAAGUACCGCAGCCUAGUGUCAUCAAUCCUAGUGUCAAUAGCUGUUUUUGCAGCCAUAUUGACCCUAUGUGGCUGUUGUUGUAUUCCCUGCAUAAGAUCCAUGAUCAACAGACUGAUAGCCACAGCUAUUACACCGGACCUUGUCGGCCAAAAAGAAAUUAUGACACUGCUGGAGCACGCCGACACUAACUCAAACACCGACGACGAAGAUGAAGAAACAACCUGUAACUAAAAGGAAAAAGACACUCCUGUUAAUAAUGAAGCAACAGUUAAAAAUGCACUGUCAAGAGACUGUAUGCUGAUAAAAGUUAAAAUGUGUAAAACAAAUUAACAACAGGAGGGAUAUGUUAAGAGAUUUUCAAAUGUUUCAAGUAUUAUUCCCACUGCCAUUUGUACGUUAUUGAAAGUUUAUCUUUAAUUUUAGUGUUAAUAGUUGUUUACCCAUUUAUUCUUUCCAUUUAAUCGUAUUUUAUGGUUUUACUGUUUUGCUGAAGUGAAGCUUAAAUGAAAGACAAAAGCAUAGUGUUCUCAGAUAUGAUUCACCCAGUAUAUUUCCUCUGCACCUGGCUCUCUACGAGCCGUUUCACUCCCAGGAAGGGGAGAGCAGGACGUUCUUAUCUAUACACUCCCAAAUACAAAGAGGGGCCCAUUCUUCAGAAUCACACACACACACUCUGAGAUCAUAAACUUCACACACACACACAUACUCUGAAACGCUAUAAAUAAAGAACUGCCACAUACGCUGGUUGUGGGCCUGAGACAGCAGCGCUCACCCAGCGUGCGCACGUUGUUACCAUCUAAACUGCCUUGAGUGUCUUUAUUUCGCCUGAAGAAUGUCUUGUUUAAAUAUUUACUCUUUACAGAAAGAAAGAAAGAAAGAAAGAAAGAAAGACUUGCCAAAGGCAGUCCAAGUGACGUUUAUCCUGACAGGUAACGUUAUCAAACAACAAGUUACCACACACACAUACACACACAUGUCGUUUCCAGUUCAGGUUACUGUAGCAGGUUUUUGUCACUGUCACUCGCCGUUACACCUGAGUUUUGUGUUUACAAUAAUAACUAAAUAUUUUGCCUCAUUCAUAGUUUUGAAUGGCAGUAGUGCACUGUCGGUCAGUUUUAACUUUUCAUUUAGAUUUGUGUUUUAUAAUGAAUUAUUUACAAUAUUGAUUAUGGUGGGACUAAAUAUAUCCCCUGUGGGAGGGAGGCGUAUCCUCACCCCCUUGUGCGGGCUGCCGCUCCCUGAGCCUGGUUGUUCUGGAGGUUUCUUCCUGUUAAAUGUUUUCCCUUUCCUCUGUCUCCAUGUGCUUGCUCAUCGGGGGCUGUUUGAUUGUUGGGGGUUUCUCUCUUUUAUUGUAGGGUCUGUACAAUAUAAGCAGCUUGAAGCAACUGCUGUUUUGAUUUUGCAUUAUUAGUGAAGACAUGAUGUUUGCUUCAGUGGACAUUAAGUUUACCCAUUAAUUACUGACAUGGUAGUUUACUGUGCCUGAAAGAGAGAGCAUCUGCUACAUCAGUAUUAGUGAAAAGGCAUUCUGACAUAUAAAAAUGCAGACAGGUUUUGUUCCACCUCUCAUAUAUCAAACAUUAUGUGUGGCAAAGAGCGGUUAUCACACUUAAUAAUUAACACUUCUUUCCCUAUGAGCACAGUGUUUUAUUAAUUGACAAGUAAUUCCUUGCAUGGGGAUUUCACCAUUUUGUAAUCUACACAGGUUGUUUGUGACUCAUCCACUACCAAGCCCAGUGAUUCAAGCUCCCCCCCCCCCCCAUCAGUAGCAAGAAAAUGUAAACACAAAAAUCAGGAAACUCCUGUUUGGUUUUUCUCUAAAUAACUAAUACCUUUUAAAAGCAAUUUCUCCCUUUCGUUUUCCUGGUUGUCCCCAGCUUCCCUUCAGUGGCUCCCCAGUAUUAAAUCACUGAACUAGGCGAGAAAAAACCAGAGGGUUGAUGACUGCUCAAUGACAAGGAAAGCAUAGUCCAAACACUCAUGCCCACGCAGUGUGAAACGACACAGAGGGCAACAACCCUUUGAGAAGAAUCACAGUAAAGCUACAUGUGAACAGAGCUGUAAAUGGUACUGAUUCAUAAAGGGAGGGUGAGGGCAGGGCAGUAUCGGUUAGAAAAUACAACAGAAAGCGUUUCUGAUUUUGACAUAUUUUUCAUUUGGUUUUUGUCAUGCUUAAUAAAACAUUCUUAUUAUCAGGAUGAUACAAACAUGCAGAAGUAAAAGGUUCUUUGUGCAGCAAUGUAAUUUUAUUUUUUUUAUUUAUUUCUAAAUGGAAAAAAUUGCAAUUUAGUUUCAUAAAGAAACUUCAUCUGUUUUCUUCUUUUUCUUCUUCUUCUUGUUCCAGCUGCUCCAUUUAAGGGUCACUGCAGUGGAUUGUCUUCCUCCAUCUCUCUCUUCUCCGUAAUCUUUAUUUUUCCUUGUCAGCAUUUCCUUGUCAGCUCCAUAUUCAACAUCCUUUGUCCAAUAUAUCCACUAUCCCUCCUCUGCGCAUGUCCAAACAAUCUCUCUAAUGUUGUUUCCAAACUGCUGAACCCGAGCUGUCCCUCUGAUAUAUUCAUUUCUAACCUUGUCCACGUCAGUCUUAAUAAUUAUUAAGACUUAAGUGACAAUCUCAGCCAAUGUUCCCUCUAAUUUUUCAUGUGUCUGAGCGAACACACAAACUCCCUGAGCGAUCCCUUGGACCACUGUGAGCGACAUCAGACGUGUGCGCUGUGGUCACGCCAGCAUCUAAUCCAUCCAAGUUACAUGGUUUAUUAAAAUAAUCAAAUUACAGCAUUUACAUUUAUGUUAGACUACUUUUAAACUGCUUUAGCCCACUUACAAUGAACAUGUAAAAAAAAAAUCUAGUCAUUGACUUGUGUAGUAUGUUAACACUAUUGGAAGUAAAAAUAACUUGAACUCCAAUUUUGAAAACACAACUUUCUUUCUUUUUUUAAAAAAAGCUCUGACUUGUAUUAUGAGUCUGUGGUCUGGGAGAGUCUGUAACUCUCUGUCUGCAAAAUACAGCAUAUAAUGACCAAUGUUGGGCAAUUAAUUAUAUAGUUACUCCUCAAAAAAGUAACUCAGUUUGGCAAACAACAACGUUUUUUGCAGCUAUUUUUUUUAAAUGCAGCCAGGGCAUUUUUAAAUAAACAUUUCAA